rnacentral:rRNA from 1 species
AAUCCAGACUCCUACGGGAGGCAGCAGUGGGGAAUAUUGCACAAUGGGGGAAACCCUGAUGCAGCGACGCCGCGUGAGUGAAGAAGUAUUUCGGUAUGUAAAGCUCUAUCAGCAGGGAAGAUAAUGACGGUACCUGACUAAGAAGCCCCGGCUAACUACGUGCCAGCAGCCGCGGUAAUACGUAGGGGGCAAGCGUUAUCCGGAUUUACUGGGUGUAAAGGGUGCGUAGGUGGCAUGGCAAGUCAGAAGUGAAAGCCCGGGGCUCAACCCCGCGGACUGCUCUGGAAACUGUAGAACUAGAGUGCAGGAGGGGUAAGUGGAAUUCCUAGUGUAGCGGUGAAAUGCGUAGAUAUUAGGAGGAACACCAGUGGCGAAGGCGGCUUACUGGACUGUAACUGACGUUGAGGCUCGAAAGCGUGGGGAGCAAACAGGAUUAGAUACCCCCGUA